rnacentral:antisense_RNA from 1 species
GUGGGAGCAAGGCUUGCCCGCGAUGAAGUCGCCUCGGUUUCAGAACAACCGAGUAACCCCCAUCGCGGGCAAGCCUUGCUCCCAC